rnacentral:rRNA from 1 species
AGCAGCCGCGGUAAUUCCAGCUCCAAUAGCGUAUAUUAAAGUUGUUGCAGUUAAAAAGCUCGUAGUUGAAUUUCGGGAUCAAUAUAUUGGUCAUGCUUAGGUAUGUACUGGUAUUAUUGAUUUCUCCCUUCUGAAGAACCAUAAUGUCAUUAAUUUGAUGUCAUGGGGAAUCAGGACUGUUACUUUGAAAAAAUUAGAGUGUUUAAAGCAGGCUUUCGCUUGGAUACAUUAGCAUGGAAUAAUGAAAUAGGACGUUUGAUUCUAUUUUGUUGGUUUCUAGGAUCGACGUAAUGAUUAAUAGGGAUAGUUGGGGGCAUUAGUAUUCAAUUGUCAGAGGUGAAAUUCUUGGAUUUAUUGAAGACUAACUACUGCGAAAGCAUUUGCCUAGGAUGUUUUCAUUAAUCAA